rnacentral:misc_RNA from 1 species
CUCUCAGCAUGCUCUCGCCAUCUUUGGGUGCAUUUAUACCGCUUAGGUCUGCCCCUUGCCAUAUAAGGCCCUGUAUCUUCAUUCUUCAGGAAUUAGCAAUAUCCAGGGGCUCAACAAGGCGCCGGUACCUGGUUCCUAUUUCAAUCCAUGCCUUCCGACCCUCGAAUUCGUCAGGGAGUUCAUUUCUUUUCAGCAUUUCGAUUAUUUCAUCCCAUAUACCUGCCAACUCAAGCCUCUUCACAUUAGCAUCGAAGUCUUCUUUGUCUUUUGAAAGCUUGAAGGCAUCAUAGUAGCCCACUUUAUGUUGACAUCUCUUUUUGUAUCCUUGUAGUUUUCCUAGUCCUCUCUUGAUAUCUUCCAUUUUUAUGUCAAUUGCUUUCUGGUUACUCUUUUUCUGCUUCUCCAACUCUCCAGCAGCACGGAGACACAAUCUUGCUCUAGUGCUCAGGCCUAGGUCAUUCAAGACCAUGUUAAUCUCCACCGUUACAUCAUUCGACAAUGGAAGUGCUUCCAGAUGAUUAUCAUCUAAACAGGUUACACUUUGCUUUUUUAAGCAUUCUUGCAGUUCAUGUUUGUAGUUCAAAUGAUCUUUUAGGCUAUUGAGGGCAACUGCUUCAGAGUUCGACUGAAAGGUAUAGAACAGUAGCUGCAAAACAGCAUCUGGAUUCUUUAUGGCCACAAGUUUCCCAUUUCCUGUGCAGAAGACAUAGGUACCUAAGGGUCUAUAAGGACUUAGCUCAACAAAGUUCGAUAGAGUAUCCAACAAAAGAUUUGUACUUCCCAUGAUCUUACAGGCGGCAUGGCUCACAACAGAUAAUGCAUUCCUCAUCACAGUUACAUAGAAGCCUGAGGCUUCACCCACAUUUUCUUGCAUGUAAAAUGGGGAUCUUGGGUUGAAGAAAUUUAGAAUUCUCUGCAGUUGCUGCUCAACAAAUGAGAGAGGCGUGAGUGAUACCCUUGGGACAAUGUCAUAUCUCACGACAAAAUUUAUGAAGUAGGGAGACCAGUUUUCACGCCUAAGCGCAUGGCUCACAAUGCGAUCUCCAACAAGAGGAGACCCAAAAGUCACGCAAAGCGGUGCCUCUUUGUUGGGGUCUGGUCUUAUGUACACUUCCAAGAACCAGAUAGUUGCAAGUAUAGCAAUAGGCCCCCCAAGAGAGUGCCCUGUAAACACAACUGGCUUCCUAUCUGUCACAGCUGUUCUCACCUCCUUCUUGAAUUGUGUAUUAGCCAAAAUUGCCCUGAAUCUAUUCAAAAAGGCUUCAUUAACAGUAGCAAUUUCAUUGAGACCUAUAUGUUUGAGACUAGGGAACAGCUCAAGAUCCACCUUCACUU